rnacentral:tRNA from 1 species
GCCGGAGUAGCUCAGUUGGUAGAGCAGGUCAUUCGUAAUGACAAGGUCGGGGGUUCGACUCCUCUCUCCGGCACCA